rnacentral:rRNA from 1 species
UACAGAGGGUGCGAGCGUUAAUCGGAAUUACUGGGCGUAAAGCGCACGUAGGUGGCGACGUAAUUCGGGUGUGAAAGCCCCGGGCUCAACCUGGGAAUUGCAUUCGAGACUGCAUUGCUGGAGUACGGAAGAGGAGGGCGGAAUUCCCGGUGUAGCGGUGAAAUGCGUAGAUAUCGGGAGGAACAUCAGUGGCGAAGGCGGCCCUCUGGUCCAGUACUGACGCUGAGGCGCGAAAGCUAGGGGAGCAAACGGG